GAUGAACGCUGGUGGCGUGCCUAAUACAUGCAAGUCGAGCGAACAGACGAGGAGCUUGCUCCUCUGACGUUAGCGGCGGACGGGUGAGUAACACGUGGAUAACCUACCUAUAAGACUGGGAUAACUUCGGGAAACCGGAGCUAAUACCGGAUAAUAUAUUGAACCGCAUGGUUCAAUAGUGAAAGACGGUUUUGCUGUCACUUAUAGAUGGAUCCGCGCCGCAUUAGCUAGUUGGUAAGGUAACGGUUUACCAAGGCAACGAUGCGUAGCCGACCUGAGAGGGUGAUCGGCCACACUGGAACUGAGACACGGUCCAGACUCCUACGGGAGGCAGCAGUAGGGAAUCUUCCGCAAUGGGCGAAAGCCUGACGGAGCAACGCCGCGUGAGUGAUGAAGGUCUUCGGAUCGUAAAACUCUGUUAUUAGGGAAGAACAAAUGUGUAAGUAACUAUGCACGUCUUGACGGUACCUAAUCAGAAAGCCACGGCUAACUACGUG
rnacentral:rRNA from 1 species